rnacentral:rRNA from 1 species
UCUGCAGCCAUUCCACCCUGAGUGCACCUGCUCCAGUCUGAUUUCAGAAGCUAAGUGGGGCCAAGUUUGAUUUGUGCUUGGAUGGGAUUAGUGGUUUUCUACAUCUGCAUUUGGGCAUGCAGAUCACUGCCAUAA